GGGGGGAGCAAGCGUUGUUCGGAUUUACUGGGCGUAAAGGGCGCGUAGGCGGCCUGUGCAAGUCAGUUGUGAAAUCUCCGAGCUUAACUCGGAAAGGUCAGCUGAUACUGCUCGGCUAGAGUGCGGAAGGGGCAACUGGAAUUCUUGGUGUAGCGGUGAAAUGCGUAGAUAUCAAGAGGAACACCUGCGGCGAAGGCGGGUUGCUGGGCCGACACUGACGCUGAGGCGCGAAAGCUAGGGGAGCGAACGGGAUUAGAUACCCCGGUAGUCCUAGCCUUAAACGAUGAAUGCUUGGUGUCUGGGGUUAUAUAGUCCCCGGGUGCCGUCGCUAACGCUUUAAGCAUUCCGCCUGGGGAGUACGGUCGCAAGACUG
rnacentral:rRNA from 1 species